UUGCCCUUCGAGUUGUGCCAGG
rnacentral:misc_RNA from 1 species